UGUUUCGGCUAGGGGGCCAUCCCGGCUUACCAACCCGAUGCAAACUGCGAAUACCGGAGAAUGUUAUCACGGGAGACACACGGCGGGUGCUAACGUCCGUCGUGAAGAGGGAAACAACCCAGACCGCCAGCUAAGGUCCCAAAGUCAUGGUUAAGUGGGAAACGAUGUGGGAAGGCCCAGACAGCCAGGAUGUUGGCUUAGAAGCAGCCAUCAUUUAAAGAAAGCGUAAUAGCUCACUGGUCGAGUCGGCCUGCGCGGAAGAUGUAACGGGGCUAAACCAUGCACCGAAGCUGCGGCAGCGAACGUAUCACCCAAGACAACUUUGCGGAGUUGACGAUUGACGGAGCGAAGCGACGUCAAAGCGUUCAUUAAAGUCGAGUUGGCUUAGGGAUACGUUCGUUGGGUAGGGGAGCGUUCUGUAAGCCAGUGAAGGUGUGUCGUGAGGCAUGCUGGAGGUAUCAGAAGUGCGAAUGCUGACAUAAGUAACGAUAAAGCGGGUGAAAAGCCCGCUCGCCGGAAGACCAAGGGUUCCUGUCCAACGUUAAUCGGGGCAGGGUGAGUCGACCCCUAAGGCGAGGCCGAAAGGCGUAGUCGAUGGGAAACGGGUUAAUAUUCCCGUACUUGGUGUUACUGCGAAGGGGGGACGGAGAAGGCUAUGUUGGCCGGGCGACGGUUGUCCCGGUUUAAGCGUGUAGGUGUGUGUUCCAGGUAAAUCCGGUUCACUUUAACACUGAGGCGUGAUGACGAGGCACUACGGUGCUGAAGCAACAAAUGCCCUGCUUCCAGGAAAAGCCUCUAAGCAUCAGGUAACAUCAAAUCGUACCCCAAACCGACACAGGUGGUCAGGUAGAGAAUACCAAGGCGCUUGAGAGAACUCGGGUGAAGGAACUAGGCAAAAUGGUGCCGUAACUUCGGGAGAAGGCACGCUGACACGUAGGUGAAGUGAUUUACUCAUGGAGCUGAAGUCAGUCGAAGAUACCAGCUGGCUGCAACUGU
rnacentral:rRNA from 1 species